rnacentral:misc_RNA from 1 species
CCGAGUGAGGGCUCACGCCCGACCUCCAACCCACUGUGAACCAAUGUUGUUGCUUCGGGGGCGACCCUGCCGGCACUCUGUCGCCGGGCGCCCCCGGAGGUCUCCUAAACACUGCAUCUCUGCGUCGGAGUUCAAUUAAAUCGAACA